AAGACAUGAUGAGGAUAUUUUCUAAGCAUUUUCUAAAAUCUCUCCUAACUUUCAUUAUUUAAUUCUCCUUAAAACCGGGUAGAAGAUGUGAUAUCAAUUCUAAGUUU